GCCUUUAUAGCAUAGAGGUAGUGCAUUCGCUUCGUAAGUGAAAAGUUGUGAGUUCAAUCCUCACUAAAGGCU
rfam:Ipomoea nil DNA, scaffold: scaffold0188, cultivar: Tokyo-kokei standard.